rfam:Triticum aestivum genome assembly, contig: Triticum_aestivum_CS42_TGACv1_scaffold_225501_3B
AUGGUACUCCCUCCGUCCGGAAAUACUUGUCAUCAAAAUGAAUAAAAGGGGAUGUAUCUAGAUGUAUUUUAGUUCUAAAUACAUCUUUUUUUGUCUUUUUUGAUGAUAAGUAUUUUCGGACGAAGGGAGUAGUAC